rnacentral:lncRNA from 1 species
UCCAUAACAAUUAAGAUUAGCGAUAACUUUGGUGACAUGUAUCUGCAAAACUUUCAACAUAUAGUAAACUUAGCAAACUAAUUAGUAUCAGUGUACUAAAGAACCAAUUGAAAUUUUCACAGACCCCAAAAUACUCACUUUUUAUAUAAAAAUAAAUAUUUAAAAAAAUAAUAAAGUAUACAUAUAAAAUUAAUAAACGGGUUGCAAAGUGUCAGUAACACAUGAUUCAGAGAACUCCUUCAUUU